rnacentral:piRNA from 1 species
UAGCAAUUGUUUGGUGUGAAGAUGAUGU